UACGGAGGGUCCAAGCGUUAUCCGGAAUCAUUGGGUUUAAAGGGUCCGUAGGCGGUUUAGUAAGUCAGUGGUGAAAGCCCAUCGCUCAACGGUGGAACGGCCAUUGAUACUGCUAAACUUGAAUUAUUAGGAAGUAACUAGAAUAUGUAGUGUAGCGGUGAAAUGCUUAGAUAUUACAUGGAAUACCAAUUGCGAAGGCAAGUUACUACUAAUGGAUUGACGCUGAUGGACGAAAGCGUGGGUAGCGAGCAGG
rnacentral:rRNA from 1 species